CCCUUGUCUCGCCUAGGU
rnacentral:snRNA from 1 species